GUGGGGAAUCUUGCGCAAUGGGCGAAAGCCUGACGCAGCCAUGCCGCGUGAAUGAUGAAGGUCUUAGGAUUGUAAAAUUCUUUCACCGGGGACGAUAAUGACGGUACCCGGAGAAGAAGCUCCGGCUAACUUCGUGCCAGCAGCCGCGGUAAUACGAAGGGGGCUAGCGUUGCUCGGAAUUACUGGGCGUAAAGGGCGCGUAGGCGGACAGUUUAGUCAGAGGUGAAAGCCCAGGGCUCAACCUUGGAAUUGCCUUUGAUACUGGCUGUCUUGAGUACGGGAGAGGUGAGUGGAACUCCGAGUGUAGAGGUGAAAUUCGUAGAUAUUCGGAAGAACACCAGUGGCGAAGGCGACUCACUGGCCCGUUACUGACGCUGAGGCGCGAAAGCGUGGGGAGCAAACAGGAUUAGAUACCCCUGUAGUCC
rnacentral:rRNA from 1 species